rnacentral:lncRNA from 1 species
UUUAGUGCAUUGUAUGAGCUUUUGCUCCAUGCUAGUCACAGUCCCAAGUUCCAAAUUGCCCAUAACGUUUGAUGCAGGAAUUUCGGGUUGCUCUUCUUUUCUUUUUUCUUUUUUUAAACAAGUUGGUCAGCUAUUUGAUGGAUCAGAUAAUCCAUGCAAAAAGCAAUGGCUUUUGUCCGUGAUUCAGACGGUAAGCGUAG